rnacentral:rRNA from 1 species
CACGUAGGGUGCGAGCGUUGUCCGGAAUUAUUGGGCGUAAAGAGCGCGUAGGCGGUUUGUCGCGUCUGCCGUGAAAGUCCGGGGCUCAACUCCGGAUCUGCGGUGGGUACGGGCAGACUAGAGUGAUGUAGGGGAGACUGGAAUUCCUGGUGUAGCGGUGAAAUGCGCAGAUAUCAGGAGGAACACCGAUGGCGAAGGCAGGUCUCUGGGCAUUAACUGACGCUGAGGAGCGAAAGCAUGGGGAGCGAACAGG